UUUUGGAUGAUGAACAAAAAAAACAUAUUAAGAUAUCUUGGCCGCAGGAGAGCCACUCUGGAAACUGUUCUUCGAGUUGGAGAAUGUUGAACAAUGGAGUCCGCAGCCUUCAUACUUGUUGUUUGCGCUUUCCGUACGCGGCGGAGGGACCUCUUCUCCGAUCAAUUUCGUAUCGGAGAAUUCGCCGCCGGCUUCUUUUUGCGACCUUCUGCUCUGCUGUAGCUACUGCCAAUAAGGAAAGGAAGCCGAAGGUGAUUGUUAUAUCUGGUCCGACUGGUGCUGGGAAGAGCAGGCUUGCUAUGGAGCUUGCUAAGCGUCUCAAUGGUGAAAUUAUCAGCGCCGACUCUGUGCAGGUAUACCAGGGUCUUGAUAUUGGAUCUGCGAAGCCUUCUGCCAGGGAUAGAAAGGAGGUUUCUCAUCAUCUGCUUGACAUUCUACGCCCAUCUGAAGAAUAUUCUGUUGGUCGGUUUUUUGAGGAUGCAAGGCAAGCGACAAGAUAUAUCCUUGAUAAUGGCCGUGUUCCAAUAGUUUCUGGUGGGACAGGAUUGUAUUUAAGAUGGUUCAUGUAUGGCAAACCCAAUGUUCCAAAGGCCUCUCCAGACAUUGCUGCCGAAGUAUGUUUUGAGUUAGCAGAAUUGCAGAGAAAUGAAGACUGGGAUGCAGCUGUGCAGUUGGUUGUUAAAGCUGGUGAUCCUAGAGCGCAGCAUUUAGCUACUAAUGAUUGGUACCGAUUGCGGCGUAGCUAUGAGAUUAUCAAGGCAAGUGGUUCACCUCCAUCUGCAUUUCAAGUUCCAUAUGACACUUUCAGACAAGAAUGUGGCUCUGGUGCAGCAAGCAGCUUUCAGGAUGCUGACAAUUCAGUUGACCCUCAUGUCGAGUCUAGCGAGGAAAUUAGGUCGAAAGAGUUGGAUUAUGACUUCAUUUGUUUCUUCCUCUCUAGUCCAAGGCUCAAUUUGUAUAGGUCAAUUGACUUCCGCUGUGAAGAUAUGAUUUCAGGAAGUGAUGGGAUUUUAUCUGAGGCAUCAUGGCUUCUUAAUAGCGGCCUUCUUCCAAAUUCAAAUUCUGCCACUCGAGCUAUUGGUUAUAGACAAGACUUGAACUCGGGACGACGAUUGACACUGCCCAACACGAUAGGGAGUCCUAUUUCCUUUCUGGCUAUGGAGUAUCUAUUAAGGUGUAGGCAGCAAGGUGGAAGGAGUUCUCCCGGAGAGUUCUAUGCCUUCCUCUCUGAAUUUCAGAAAGCAUCUAGAACACAUGGGAGUUGGGAUAAACAACCUCCUUUUUAAUGCAAAUACAACACCGAUCAGGGGAUACAUUUGGAUUUUUUGCCUACAUUGUAUCUCCGAGGUGUUAGACCUUCCAACAAUAAGCUCCUGCCUACUAAAUACAUCUCUGGGUGUUUACACUAAAAGGUAAAUUUGAUUGAAUGGAAGGACAUAAACGGUAGAACAGAGGUUGAGACCAACAGCCAGAAAAUACUUCCGGAAUCCUUUUUUAACCAGAUUACUCCUGGAUAUAUGAUUUCUGUUGAGAAUUUUAAAUGCAGUUAUAAGUGGUUGAUCUAAGAAUGUAGUACUAGCAUUAGCUUUAUAUUUUAUGGCCUUGCCCAAAGGUUCUUGUUGAUUCCUUGUGGGGGAAAUACUUUGAGUGGAAAACCAUGUUUAUGGUGCUAAAUACUCCUUAUGCUUUUGCGUUUUGUUGGAUUUCAAAUCAGAAACUGAAAAAUCACUGUGCAGAAAUUUUGCAAAAAGGCAAUUGACUUGGUUCCGGAAUGAGCGUAUAUAUCACUGGCUUGAUGCAUCCAAACCCCUGGAAAAUGCACUCAACUUUAUUUACGACGCUUACCACAGUGAAAGUGAAAAUAUCUCUGUUCCAGAUUCACUUG